AUACGGAGGGUGCAAGCGUUACUCGGAAUCACUGGGCGUAAAGCGCGCGCAGGCGGUCUUUUAAGUUGGAUGUGAAAGCCUACAGCUCAACUGUAGAACUGCAUCCAAAACUAUUAGACUAGAGUCUGGGAGGGGAAGAUGGAAUUAGUUGUGUAGGGGUAAAAUCCGUAGAGAUAACUAGGAAUACCAAAAGCGAAGGCGAUCUUCUGGAACAGUACUGACGCUGAGGCGCGAAAGCGUGGGGAGCGAACAGGAUUAGAUACCCGGGUAGUCC
rnacentral:rRNA from 1 species